CAAAAAGUGUUUGCAGACGCUAGUUCCCGAGGCUUGGGUAAAAACUUAGGGCUUGUGAACAGUAAAAAUAUUUUUAGCAAAAAGUUGCCUGGAUAAAUAGGUAUCACUCCCACCUGCUGUAGCCUGUGUGAGAGUGUUUAAGCAGGCAGUGACCUGCUGAAGAGCAGGAAAUAGGUUUUAACCUGGAGGUCCCGGUGCUUAGCGCAGCUUCUCGGAUAAAAUGCUAAGUGAAUAUAGGAGAAAAUGAGAAACCUGCAACGUUACUGUAGCAGAGGCGUUUGAGCGCCUACUGUGACCCAGGCACUGAGCCACACUCUGCAAGGAUUCAUUUAAUCCUCACCCAGCAUAAGAGCUUGUGGGAUCUUAGUUCCUGGUCCAGGGAUCGAACUCGGGCCCUCGGCAGUGAAAGCGCAGAGUCCUAACCACGGACUGCCAGGGAAUUCCCUCAAGUGACAGUACAGUCAAAGGUGAUGCCGUUUCUCGAGUGCUUCAACCAGCCUGGGAAGAGUCCGCUCGUCAUUGAUAUCCAAAAUUUCGCAGGAUGGCAGAGGUGGAAAACUCUGCAAAACCACUUCUGAAACCAGCAGUUCUGUAUAGAGUUAUGAAAAACAAAAAGUUACUUACAUAGGAAAAAAAGUUAUUCAAACAAGUUUUAACACUGUGGUAAGAGCCCCAGUCCAGUUAACAUUGUACCUUGUUGGGCUGUCAUAAUACUUCCUUAAAAAAGUGUUAUAGGGCUUCCCUGGUGGCGCAGUGGUUGAGAGUCUGCCUGCCAAUGCAGGGGACGCGGGUUCGAGCCCUGGUCUGGGAAGAUCCCACAUGCCGCGGAGCAGCUGGGCCCGUGAGCCACAAUUACUGAGCCUGCGCGUCUGGAGCCUGUGCUCCGCAACAAGAGAGGCCGCGAUAGUGAGAGGCCCGCGCACCGCGAUGAAGAGUGGCCCCCGCUUGCCACAACUAGAGAAAGCCCUCGCACAGAAACGAACACCCAACACAGCCAUAAAUAAAUAAACAAAUACUUUUUUUUAAAAAAAUAUGUUAUAAAGAAGGAAAAAUGAAAAAAAGGUAUAUAAUAAAAGAAAU